AGUGAACGCUGGCGGUAGGCCUAACACAUGCAAGUCGAACGGCAGCACAGUAAGAGCUUGCUCUUACGGGUGGCGAGUGGCGGACGGGUGAGGAAUACAUCGGAAUCUACUUUUUCGUGGGGGAUAACGUAGGGAAACUUACGCUAAUACCGCAUACGACCUACGGGUGAAAGCAGUGGAUCUUCGGACCUUGCGCGAUUGAAUGAGCCGAUGUCGGAUUAGCUAGUUGGCGGGGUAAAGGCCCACCAAGGCGACGAUCCGUAGCUGGUCUGAGAGGAUGAUCAGCCACACUGGAACUGAGACACGGUCCAGACUCCUACGGGAGGCGGCAGUGGGGAAUAUUGGGCAAAGGGCGCAAGCCUGAUCCAGCCAUACCGCGUGGGUGAAGAAGGCCUUCGGGUUGUAAAGCCCUUUUGUUGGGAAAGAAAAGCAGCAGGUUAAUACCCCGCUGUUCUGACGGUACCCAAAGAAUAAGCACCGGCUAACUUCGUG
rnacentral:rRNA from 1 species